GAAGGGAGAAACGCGAGCGAAAGGGCCCCGGAGACUGGCGCCCGCCGGGGCGCAGCGCGGAAUGUAGCUGCGGGUUCCCGCGCGAGGGUGUCGGCCCGGGGCCCCGCCAUGGCAGGGACGGACAGCGGGAACCUGAAGACGGUGAGGCUGUGGCGGGACGCCGCCCUGCGCGCCAGGAAGCUGCGGAGCAACCUGCGCCAGCUCACCCUCAGCUCGGCCGGGGGCUGCCAGGGAACCGACCAGCUCGACUCCCCUGACGCCCCCCAGCUCGUGCUCCCGGCCAACAUCGGGGACAUUGAGGUGCUGAACCUGGGGAACAACGGCCUGGAGGAGGUGCCCGACGGGCUGGGCUCGGCGCUGGGCAGCCUCCGCGUCCUGGUCCUGCGCCGGAACCGCUUCGCCCAGCUACCUCCGGCAGUGGCCGAGCUGGGACAUCACCUCACGGAGCUGGACGUGAGCCACAACCGGCUGAGCGUCCUGGGCGCCGAGGCGGUGGGCGCCCUGCGCGAGCUGCGGAAGCUCAACCUCAGCCACAACCAGCUCCCUACCCUGCCAGCCCAGCUGGGUGCGCUGGUCCACCUGGAAGAGCUGGACGUCAGCUUCAACCGGCUGGCGCACCUGCCCGACUCCCUCGCCGGCCUCUCUCGCCUGCGCACCCUCGACGUGGACCAUAACCAGCUCACGGCUUUUCCCCGACAGCUGCUGCAGCUGGCGGCCCUGGAGGAGCUGGACGUGUCCAGCAACCGGCUGCGGGGUCUCCCCGAGGAUAUCAGUGCCCUGCGCGCCCUCAAGAUCCUCUGGCUGAGUGGGGCCGAGCUUGGCACCCUGCCGAGCGGCUUCUGCGAGCUGGCCAGCCUGGAGAGCCUCAUGCUGGACAACAACGGGCUGCGGGCUCUGCCCGCCCAGUUCAGCCGCCUGCAGCGACUCAAAAUGCUCAAUCUCUCCUCCAACCUCCUGGAGGAGUUUCCGGCCGCCCUGCUGCCCCUGGCUGGCCUGGAGGAGCUCUACCUUAGCCGCAACCAGCUCACCUCGGUGCCAUCCCUGAUCUCGGGCCUGGGCCGUCUUCUCACCCUGUGGCUGGAUAACAACCGGAUCCGCUACCUGCCCGACUCCAUCGUCGAACUCACCGGCCUGGAGGAGCUUGUCCUGCAGGGGAACCAGAUCGCUGUGCUGCCAGACAACUUUGGCCAACUCUCCCGCGUGGGCCUGUGGAAGAUCAAGGACAACCCUCUGAUCCAGCCCCCCUACGAGGUCUGUAUGAAGGGGAUCCCGUACAUCGCCGCCUACCAGAAGGAGCUGGCUCACUCCCAGCCGGCGGUCCAGCCGCGCCUCAAGCUGCUUCUGAUGGGUCAGAAGGCGGCAGGAAAGACCCUUCUCCGGCACUGCCUCACUGAGGACAGAGUGGAGGGGAAGCUGGGGGGAGGGGGCCAGGAGAAGACCUACCCGCCUUCACCUCCGCCUGGGAGCAAGGGCAUCGAGGUGACCAGCUGGACGGCGGAUGCGUCCCGGGGCCUGCGGUUCAUCGUGUAUGACCUAGCCGGGGACGAACGCUACGAGGUGAUACAGCCCUUCUUCCUCUCCCCGGGGGCCCUGUACGUGCUGGUGGUGAACUUGGCCACCUAUGAGCCGCUCCGCUUUCCCACCACCGUGGGCUCUUUCUUGCAUCGGGUGGGGGCCCGGGUGCCCCACGCCGUGGUGUGCAUCGUGGGCACCCAUGCCGACCUGUGCGGGGAGCAGGAGCUGGAGGAGAAGUGUCUGGACAUCCACCGCCAGAUCGCCCUGCAGGAGAAGCACGACGCCGAGGGGCUGAGCCGUCUGGCCCAGGUGGUGGACGAGGCGCUGGCCCGGGACUUCGAGCUCCGCUCCGCCAGCCCUCACGCCGCCUACUACGGGGUGUCGGACAAGAACCUUCGGCGGCGCAAGGCCCACUUCCAGUACCUGCUCAACCACCGGCUGCAGAUCCUCUCGCCAGUGCUGCCCGUCAGCUGCCGGGACCCGCGCCAGUUACAGCGCCUGCGCGACAAACUGCUCUCGGUGGCCGAGCACCGCGAAAUCUUCCCCAACUUACACCGCGUGCUGCCGCGGUCCUGGCAGGUGCUGGAGGAGCUGCACUUCCAGCCCCCGCAGGCGCAGCGGCUCUGGCUCAGCUGGUGGGACUCAGCUCGCCUGGGGUUGCAGGCCGGGCUGACCGAGGACCGGCUGCAGAGCGCCCUCUCCUACCUGCACGAGAGCGGCAAGCUGCUGUACUUCGAGGACAGCCCGGCCCUCAAGGAGCACGUCUUCCACAACCUCUCCCGCCUCAUCGACAUCCUCAACGUCUUCUUCCAGAGGGACCCUUCCUUGCUACUGCACAAGCUGCUCCUGGGGACCAGCGGCGAGGCCGAGGCCGAGGGCCGGGCCGAAAGCUCCCCGCUGAUGGCGCCGCCCGCCCCGAGCCAGGACACGCUUCGGGCCACCCAGCUACAUCACUACGUGGAGGGCUUUCUGCUGCAUGGGCUCCUGCCAGCCCACGUCAUCCGGUUGCUGCUGAAGCCUCAUGUCCAAGCUCAGCAGGACCUGCAACUGCUGCUGGAGCUGCUGGAGAAAAUGGGACUCUGUUACUGCCUCAACAAAGCCAAGGGCAAGCCCCUGAAUGGGUCCACGGCCUGGUACAAGUUCCCCUGCUACGUGCAAAACGAGGUGCCGCACGCGGAAGCCUGGAUUAACGGGACCAACCUGGCCGGGCAGUCCUUUGUGGCUGAGCAGCUGCAGAUUGAAUACAGUUUUCCCUUCACCUUUCCACCCGGCUUGUUUGCCCGCUACAGCGUCCAGAUCAACAACCACGUGGUGCACAGGUCGGAUGGCAAACUUCAGAUCUUCGCCUACAGGGGGAAAGUCCCGGUGGUGGUGAGCUACAGACCUGCCAAGGGGGUCCUGCAGCCGGACACCCUGUCCAUUGCCAGCCACGCAUCGUUACCGAACAUAUGGACGGCAUGGCAAGCCAUAACCCCCUUGGUAGAGGAACUGAAUGUCCUACUUCAGGAAUGGCCUGGACUGCACUACACCGUGCACAUUCUCUGUUCUAAGUGCCUUAAGAGAGGGUCGCCCAAUCCACACGCUUUCCCAGGGGAGUUGCUGAGUCAGCCCAGACCAGAAGGAGUGGCAGAGAUCAUCUGCCCCAAGAACGGCAGCGAGCGAGUGAAUGUUGCCUUGGUUUACCCACCCACACCAACUGUGAUCAGCCCGUGUUCCAAGUAUCUCCAUACUUUCUUGGACAAUUAAGUGGAAAAGAUAGUGCUUCUUUCCCUUAUGCCAUCAUUUUUACUGUACCCAAUCUGUGACUUUAGGAGCACCAAUUUUUAAGGGAAGAACGCUGGGGAAAAGCACAGAAACCAGUGACUUCUACGGCUGUGGGAUUUCCAUGGAGCAAAUAGCAUCAGAAUGCACCUGGACCAUCUUCUGUACCUGGCAAGCCCUCCACACUCCCAGGCGUGUUCUGUGAAUUCGCGUGCAUGUGUGUUCAGGGUGCUUUUGUGCAAGGGAGCACACCUAGCCUGUAGAUGAGGCGGGGAGGUUGCAGGGGGGAAAAGGACGGGAGAGACUAUGGAGCAAGUGUUUGACAACCUGAACCUCAGAACUGUGAUCCUCCAAGGAGAGCGCUACUUGAAGAAAAGAAAAAAUAAUAAAGUCGAAUGGCUUCUCAGGGAUUUUUUUUUUUUUUUCCGUGCACAUAUAAGCCAUAAUUCCAGUACAGGUGGCAGUAUUCAGAGCACUCAGAUUUCAGUUCUGUUAAAUGUGAAAGAGGGAUCGACUGACCAUUCAUUGCUGUUCCAUAACUAGUGUAAAAUAUGUAUAUGUUUAUCUUUAUUUUUAUAAUACACAAAUACAUUUAAAUUUAUACAGUUUGAAGCUUCUAGCAUUAGUUGACACUGGGUGCAAUAUUCUGAUGAGAACUGUGCCAACACGGGGCUGAUUUCUUACUUUAGUAUUAGAUGUGUUGUUUAUUCUUUAAGCCUUCACAGAUUUAAAAAAAGAAAAGAUACCUAUCUCUUUGCUCAUGGCUUCAGUGUUGGUUCAUAGAGGUUGACAAUAAUCAUCAAGAACCUUAAACAUGCGUUUCAGGCAAUAGCUCCUCCUCACCUUUUCAGUAAAGGUCCCUGGUCACUGGGUGAUAGUCUGAUGGAGGCCUGGUGAUGAAGAUUCUUCAGGGGAGGGGGAUUAAGGGAUCCACAUAUCCAAGGAAAAGUGGAGUCUUGCAAUAGCUUAGUCAGGCAUCAGUUCCAAAGCAUGUAACGAGCUCUGCUAAUAGGUCCUGUUCCCAUCCCCCACCGCCCCCUAGAACAGAGUCUGUGAAAUUUAGCAGAGCUCUGAAAGCUGGUAUCAGACCCUAAGAUAGUGAGUUGCUUAAUUGGAGAGCACCAGCCCACAUUGGUUAUUUAUAAAUACAGAACCUCUGAUUGGAUGGUCUACUGCCAAGAACUAGUAAAACCCUGGUUUUAAAAUCUCCAUGACGUAAAACCUAAAAAGCCAACCAACCAAACUGCUCUCCCCUCCUCCUCAUCGGGGCCAACAGCAUCUACUGCAAUAGUAACACAUUCUUUGAAAAGUGUGCACGACUGUUUACAUCUGCCGCCCCUGCAUGUUGGUUGAAAAAUGUGUGAAACUGUUUCUUUCCAGUGUAAAGCAAGAAAAACUAGUCAGCGGUAUUAUUCGUUUACUUCUAUAAAGUAUUGUCUCUUGGAAUGCCACAGUAUACAAUGUCUCCACAUAUUUAAAAAAUAACAAAGAAGUGGCUGCAUUGCAAAAAAAAAAAUACACCAGAAAUCAAUUUUUGUAGAUUGUUUUGUGCCCCAGGAAUUAACUUUAUGAACUCCAGAACCUCUAGUCAAACAAGCAUGAUUUCUUACAAUCAUAAAAUCAAAUGGGAUCAGACUAGUUCUGCAUUUAAUCCUUGAAUAUGACACUUCCAAUUUGCAAUUUCAUUUUCUUUUGGAACAGUCACAAGAUUAAUCCUUCUGUCACAGUUCUCCUGUGUGUGUGUGCAUGUGUGUGUAAGUGUAAACUGAAUGGUAACAUUUAAUUGCUUUAUAGACCACUGAAUUGUUGGGCAUAAAAGUUUUCCAACUGGCAGGAGACAGUUCUUCAACUGUCAAAUUAACCAACUUUGACCAAAAAAAAGGUGGUAAAGUGACUUCAGGCUAACUCCCCAGGGGACCAUAUUAACUGAAGAAAAAAAAAAUGUUCCUUUGAGUGACAUACCCUGCAAAGUGUGUGCUCUUAUUAUGAAUAUAGAUGCCCACAUUCUUAAUAACUGCUCUUUUUGGACAAGUGAUGCUUUAUGCUGUCAUCUGAACCUUAGAGAAGCAGUGUAAGAAGAAAUCUUGGUGUCACAUGUAUUUUAGCAAAAAAAGUCACCCUGAUAGAGGGUCAUGUGACCAAAAGCAGCUCCAGAAAAGCUUGAGAACUCGCUUUGGGGCAGGGGGGAAGAUUGGAGAUACAGAAAACACACUGCUCUAUAGGAAUUUUCUUCAUCUAUGCAGGAAAUUCCAUUCUCUCUUUCAACACCUGGGAAGACUCAGCUGGGGAGGCUGGCUGAUGGGCGAUUCACUAAGCACAAAGGGGGAUCUUUUCCAACUAAGUCGUCCCUGCCUUGCAAACAGACGCCCUCCAAGUUUGUUAUGGUUUCUAUUCCUGCAUCUUGUGGUAUCAAAACCACUUCCUGGAAUUGUAAAUGCGCUGCCAGAAUAAAUGUUUUUUCCCCCUUCCAAGAAAAAAACCGCCAGUGCUCAUAUUUGACACUUGUGCACUGGACCCUUUUUGAAUGAAUAAAAUGGAAAGGGUUUGGUGUCA